UGCAUCUCACCUGGGCGGCUGGGCCACCGGAUCCCUGCACGCACAAACCUAGCUCCAAGCAGCUGCUGCACGGUGGGGAAUGGCAGAGGCUGAAGGCGCACGGCCCAUGAAGCUAGUGCAGGUUGAGCCUUCCCUUCCACAGGAAUUCCUCUCCCUCCAUGGAUUACCAGAUUUUCAGGAAUUACUGGAGCAACCAAUGGACAUGAAACACCCAAGAAGGUGACACUAGGUGGAUCAGGAACUUACAUUUUAUUUUGUACUCUGUUUGUAUUCCAUUUAAUUCUGACUUUUCCUUUUUCUUUUCUGAAUAUACGAUGCUUAGAGGAAGUGCAUUGUAUGAUAUUAUAUGAGAAUAAAGUGCCAUAACAGUGCAGGUUAGAUUCU